CGGAUUAUUUACCUAUUCUCAAGCAAUAUGCAUGAUGCUUCGUUGUCUCUUGGAAUUCAUACAACUUGUGCCCGACUGAUGUUGAAUCUGGUAGAGCCAAUUUUUGAGAAAGGUGUUGACCAGCCAUCGAUGGAUGAAGCACGAAUUCUUUUGGGCCGAAUUUUGGAUGCCUUUGUUGGAAAAUUUAGUACUUUCAAGCGUACAAUUCCUCAGCUCUUGGAGGAGGGUGAGGAGGGAAAGGAUCGUGC